rnacentral:snRNA from 1 species
UCAACUUUUCAGCCUUUUGGCUAAAACUAAGUAUAGUAUCUAUUCUUAUCUGUUUAAUUUCUGAUGCAUCCCUAUCAGAGGACAAUACAUGAAACAGACUUUUGGAGCCAGGAGAUAGAAUGGGCGCUUGCUUCAUCCACUCCACACAUCAACCUGACAUUACAGUACCUCCGGGAACACUACACCAAUU